rnacentral:rRNA from 1 species
AUACGGAGGGAGCAAGCGUUAUUCGGAAUCACUGGGCGUAAAGGACGCGUAGGCGGGUUUGUAAGUCAGGUGUGAAAUCCUACAGCUCAACUGUAGAACUGCACUUGAAACUACAGACCUAGAGUAUGGAAGGGGCAGAUGGAAUUAGUGGUGUAGGGGUAAAAUCCGUAGAUAUCACUAGGAAUACCGAAAGCGAAGGUGAUCUGCUGGGACAUUACUGACGCUGAGGCGUGAAAGCGUGGGGAGCAAACAGGAUUAGAAACCCCGGUAGUCC